AUAUAAUUCAUCUUAUAUAUAAUUGCUUAAUCAAAUUCAAAACCCCAGUUCUCUCUCAUCAUCCCCUUCGCCAAGCUGAUCUCUGUUGGUUGAUCUCUUUUCCUUGUCAAAAUUCUCUUCUCAUUUCUUGUUAAUUCACACUGUGCUUAUUCUCCGAUCCAGCAGGGAUUCGGAUUAAUGCCAUAAUUGCCAAAGAACAGAGACGUAAACCGUGUUAGAGUUUUCAGCAAAGUUCAUCACCACCUUCCACGCCAUAAAAGACAAGUUGCUGGUUACGUUGACUUGAAAGUAAUCAACUGUUGACAAGCUCUAAUAGAAGUAUCAUUUUUUGCAAGAAUUUUGUGUAGAUAUGAUUCGAUUUUUUAUGUAUAAUUUUGGGAUUUUUUUUAAAUAUAAAUAUAUGGCUUCUUUGGUCAGAUUUUCGUAUCAAUUCCUUUUUCGUUUUUUCAGCUUUAAAUAUUUGUUACAUAUGAACAUGGUGAAAUCUCAAUAUUUGUUAUAUAUAUGAACUCAGUCAAAUCCCAAUUAGAAUGUUUGGGCUCUAGCUCAAUGACAUAUCUGCACAGGGUAUUCGUGAGGAAUCAAUCCAGUCGUUAUUAGAAUAAUCUCCAUAUGCAUUAGGAUGGCACUUCUUUCCUCACACGGGCGUGGAGCCUCAAAAUAUACAUGUUUCGGAUUAUAUUUGACAUUAUUAGUUUUGGAUUUGAAUUUGAUUAAUUUAAACUUUUCCUUAUUGUUUCUAAUACAUAUAUGCUUGAUUUAUAGCAGGCCAAGAAAUUCUUAGUGAUAUUUCUGUUAUUUUAAGGGAAGCUCUACUUGUUUCUCGAGUGGUCAAGGUAAGUAUUAAGUCCUUGUUGAAGUAAAAUUACAUCUCAUGAUAUGUUCUCUAUACAAGUGUUUUGCUUUUGGUUGACAAACUUAUUGCUUAUGAUUCUUUCCCUGGGUGAAUUUUGAGUACAAGAUUAGUUAUUUUGUUAGGUUGAAUUUAAACGGGUGAUACUUAAUCUAUUUCUUAGCUUUUGUUGCUUCAUGUAGUCGAAAUAGAAUCUGACCAGAUGCUUAUGAUACAACUUUAGUUUACUUAUUUACAAUUUUCUCAUAAUAUCUUUGACUUACUAUUUGAUGCUGUUUGAUACAACUUUUGUUUGCAUACUUGCAUUUUUAUUGUUAACAAAUACAUUUGUUAUGUUGGUCCGUAAAUGCUUACAUAUCCUUGUGGGCUCACUAUUUGCAUCUUAAUUUUUUUUUUUGUUUCUUUCCUUUUGUGACAAUAAGUUGAUAAAAUAAAAUAAAAUAAAAGGCUGACUUUUUUUCGCUCGUGUGACAGGUAACAUUCCACUAUGGAACCUGAAUGGGAAAAGUUCCUUUUUCUAAUGUCCGGUGAUGGAGACAAUACAUCGUCACCACUUUUUCAGUUGAUUAUGGAUCAUUUCCCCAUACCAUUUGUGACGAAGUUGACAGACACUAUUCUCCGAGGACCGACAUACGAGCUUAAACAUCAAGCGAUAGGCUUGUUGGUACAUGUAUUCGACGAGACUCUUACCGAGAAUUAUCUAAGCGUGGACAGAAGUUACAUCGAAGAAUUGGAGAAUUCGGUGAUGUCGAUGCUUAUGGAAGAAGAUUCUUACGUACAAGACAAAGCCAAGGGCCUUGCAAAGACGUUGUUGCUGUUAUCGAUAAACCACGAAAGAGUGUGGUCCGAUUUCAUAGACAUAGCCGGAAAAUCACUAAUUGCAGAUCAAAGUGAUCAACUAAAAAAAAAUAUCGUGGAUAUAUUUGUUGAUCUUGAUAGUGAUUAUCAAGAAGACAUUUGUAGGCAACUAGGCCCUAUGAUUAUGAAUGUUCAUUUCAAGAAGAUCGUAGAGAUGUUUGAUGAAUCGGAAGAAGAUGUGAGACCCUUCAACAUCUUACUCGGCGUGUGCGAUUUGGUCUCGGUGGAUCAAGUAACUUUGCUCAUGGAAGCUGCCACCAAGGCACCACUAUUUUGGGGUAAAAAAGUACCUCCUUGGAAAAAACGUUUUGCAGGUUUCGCGAUGUGCUUCUGUAUAAGGAACACCAAUUUGAACUUUUCUACCCAAAUGUUGGACAAAAUUAAAAACAUCGUCUCUCUAAUGUUACAGGUAGAAAUACAAUGUAAUUUUAAAAUGUCAUGUUCACCCAUAUUAUGUAAUAUACUUACUUUUAUUUUCUUUUUUGUUAAUUCAGUCAAAAGACAAAGACUUGAGUAACACAGCUGUGGAGUUGUCUGCCUCUCUGUUGCACUCAUGCUUCCGGCUGAUUUGAUGACAACGUAGUGUAGUCAAAAUACGAAGACCGGAAGAAGGGUUGACUGUACAAUGUCAGCAUAUCAAGAUGCAAACAAUUUUUUUUUUCUUCUCUUACUUGUAACAAUGUAGAUGUAAAGAUGCAUACAUUCAUAUUUUUCUUACUUGUACACAUAUGUAGAGAUGUUAUUGGCCUGUGUGCAUAUCAGAUGUUUGUCUUCUGGAUUGCAGAGUUUUCCUUUGA